AUACGUAGGGUGCGAGCGUUGUCCGGAAUUACUGGGCGUAAAGAGCUCGUAGGUGGUUUGUCGCGUCGUCUGUGAAAUUCCGGGGCUUAACUCCGGGCGUGCAGGCGAUACGGGCAUAACUUGAGUACUGUAGGGGAGACUGGAAUUCCUGGUGUAGCGGUGAAAUGCGCAGAUAUCAGGAGGAACACCGGGGGCGAAGGCGGGUCUCUGGGCAGUAACUGACGCUGAGGAGCGAAAGCAUGGGUAGCGAACAGGAUUAGAUACCCUGGUAGUCCAUGCUGUAAACGGCGGGCGCUAGGUGUAGGGGUCUUCCACGACUUCUGUGCCGUAGCUAACGCAUUAAGCGCCCCGCCUGGGGAGUACGGCCGCAAGGCUAAAACUCAAAGGAAUUGACGGGG
rnacentral:rRNA from 1 species